rnacentral:sRNA from 1 species
UUCCUGACUGACUGCGUGCCAUCUCGGCAAC